rnacentral:rRNA from 1 species
CCUACGGGUGGCAGCAGUGAGGAAUAUUGGUCAAUGGGCGAGAGCCUGAACCAGCCAAGUCGCGUGAAGGAUGAAGGAUCUAUGGUUUGUAAACUUCUUUUAUAUGGGCAUAAAGUGAGGAACGUGUUCCUUUUUGUAUGUACCAUAUGCAUAAGCAUCGGCUAACUCCGUGCCAGCAGCCGCGGUAAUACGGAGGAUGCGAGCGUUAUCCGGAUUUAUUGGGUGUAAAGGGUGCGUAGGUGGUUAAUUAAGUCAGCGGUGAAAGUUUGUGGCUCAACCAUAAAAUUGCAGUUGAAACUGGUUGGCUUGAGUAUAGUUGAGGUAGGGGGAAUGCGUGGUGUAGCGGUGAAAUGCAUAGAUAUCACGCAGAACUCCGAUUGCGAAGGCAGCUUACUAAACUAUAACUGACACUGAAGAACGAAAGCGUGGGUAGCAAACAGGAUUAGAUACCCGAGUAGUC